rnacentral:rRNA from 1 species
CGGCCAGACUCCUACGGGAGGCAGCAGUAGGGAAUCUUCGGCAAUGGGCGAAAGCCUGACCGAGCAACGCCGCGUGAAUGAAGAAGGCCUUCGGGUUGUAAAAUUCUGUUAUAAGGGAAGAAAGGUGGUAGGAGGAAAUGACUAUCAAUUGACGGUACCUUAUGAGAAAGCCACGGCUAACUACGUGCCGGCAGCCGCGGUAAUACGUAGGUGGCGAGCGUUGUCCGGAUUUACUGGGCGUAAAGGGAGCGUAGGCGGAUUUUUAAGUGAGAUGUGAAAUACUCGGGCUCAACUUGAGUGCUGCAUUUCAAACUGGAAGUCUAGAGUGCAGGAGAGGAGAAUGGAAUUCCUAGUGUAGCGGUGAAAUGCGUAGAGAUUAGGAAGAACACCAGUGGCGAAGGCGGCUUUCUGGACUGAAACUGACGCUGAGGCACGAAAGCGUGGGGAGCGAACAGGAUUAGAUACCCGAGUAAA